CCCUUAGACGUUCUGGGCCGCACGCGCGCUACACUGACCAGUGCAACAAGCAUCCGUCCUUGGCCGACAGGCCCGGGCAAUCUUUGAACGCUGGUCGUGAUGGGGAUAGACUUUUGCAAUUUUUGGUCUUCAACGAGGAAUUCCUAGUAAACGCAAGUCAUCAACUUGCAUUGAUUACGUCCCUGCCCUUUGUACACACCGCCCGUCGCACCUACCGAUUGAAUGGUCCGGUGAAGCCUCCGGAUUGGCGCGCACCUCGGUGCCACCGAGAAGUUGGCUAAACCUUACCAUUUAGAGGAAGGUGAANUCGUANCA
rnacentral:rRNA from 1 species